GCUGAGGUGGUGGAAUAGGCAGACACGCAGGUCUCAGAAACCUGUCUCUGAAAAGAUGGUAGGGGUUCAAAUCCCCUCCUCAGCA
rnacentral:tRNA from 1 species